rnacentral:pre_miRNA from 1 species
AUCAAAAGGAAAAGGAAAUAUUGAAGAGAGUGUAUAACAUGAAGAGAAGAGUGUUGUUUGGUAGCCAAGGAUGACUUGCCUGCUGUGCUGCCGCGCGCUCCUAAUUCCAAUCCAAUCCACGAGGUGGCAGUACGUAAGUACUCACUCUCCUACGUGUUGUUGGGUUCUCCGCAGCAGCCACCAGGCAGUCUCCUUUGGCUAACUUGACARCCUCUUCUUCUCAUGCUAUACCCUUCUCUUCUUCUUCUUCUUCUUCUUCUUC